rnacentral:rRNA from 1 species
GUCUACAGCCAAACCACCCCGAACAAGCCCAAUGUCUGAUCUCGGAAGCUAAAUAAGCAGGGUCGGGCCUGGUUAAUACUGGGAUAGGAGACCACCUAGGAAGACCAGGUGUUGGUGUUGUAGAAA